rnacentral:tRNA from 1 species
GCCUUCGGGGUGUAGUGGUUCUGCACGCUGGGCUGGGAUUCCAGAGGUCCGAGGUUCGAUUCCCGGCGAAGGCG